rnacentral:tRNA from 1 species
GCAGCUGCAGCUCUAAGGUAGAGUGAAAGCCUUCCAAGCUUGGGGUGCGGGUUCGAUUCCCGCCAGCUGCU